AAGACCAGUGUGGAAGCAUGGCUGGUUGGCUCAUCAUCUCUGCCAUCACCAAUGAGCUGUCCAGGGGCCCGUUUCAGAAAGCAGGUUCAACAAACUCUGAGUUAAAACCUUAACUCUAUGUUGACCUACUCUGAGCUGUCAAACUCUAAGUUUUCGGUUUCAGAACAGGUGAUAACACUUAGUUCAAUCAACUCAGAGUCAAGGUAACCCUGAGUGAAGCUUGUGCAUGAGGAUAUAAAAAGCCCUCAUCAAUGGAGCACAGAUAACAUGAUUCACCAUGGCAACAAGUGGUAAACAGCCUCGAUCCUCCUACUUCUCCCCAGUGGAGUUGGAAAUAUUAAUGACUGCGUAUGCAGAAAGUGAGCAUAUAUUUUUAAAAAGAAGCAAUACUGUGGCAGCAGCAAAAGUGCGGGAGCUUGCGUGGCAGAAAAUUGCUGACCGAGUCAAUGCGUGCAACCCAACAGGCACCAAACGGACUUGGCAGCAGCUAAAGAUGAAAUAUAAAAAUGUAGUUCAAACAGCCAACAGAAAAAAGGCUGAGGCCCGCAAAACAGGUGGCGGUCCACCACCACCACCUCUCACAGAGGCUGAAAAGAUGGCCCUCAGUCAGAACAGUGGACGACCCAUUGCUGAGGGCAUCUCUGGGGGGAGCUCAUCGGACCCACCCACGCCCCAGGACACAGGGGCCUACAUAAUAGUUACUGAUGGUGUAAUCUGUCUCGUUGAUCCUUCUGCCAUAACUGACCUCCAUGCUGUUGAGGAUGGUGAAGACACCUUAUCAGCUGCCACAGAGAGGGAAGAUGCAGAGAGGCCUGUUGAAAGCCAUGCUGGAAAUUACACUGAGGAAGAAGGUCCAUCAACCUCCACAGAACAGCUUACCUCACUCCCUGUGAAACAACUGUAUAAGGUAUAUUUGCAAGCACAAAUCAACAAAUUUCAUCUGGAAAUGGACCAUAUAAGGCUGUAGAUCACAAAGACAAAAAUGGAAAUACAAAUGCUGGACCAUCAGUUAAAGGAAAUAAAGAAGACCUC